AUUCGACGUCGUUAGCAUCGAACCUCUUUUAGCUGUGUUGCGAAAACUUGGGAUAAAUGGUGUCUACCUUGAAUGGAUACGUUCAUACUUGUCGCACCGGGUACAAUACGUCAAACUCAAUGGCACGACUACAGAACCAUUCUUUGUUGAAUCGGGAGUAACGCAGGGUAGUCAUGUAGGUCCGUUACUAUUUAUCUGCGUAAUGAACGAACUACCAGGAUACAUUGAUAAUGCUCACAUUCUGAUUUAUGCUGACGACGUGAAGCUAUUUGUUCCAUACGUAUGGAUUAAAAGUGAACAAAUCAAAAUGCAAAAUCAUAACAUACACCCGGAAACUGAACUGGAUUAACUUCGAGUAUCAAAUGGAGGAUGUUGUCAUUGAGAGAGUCAGCAGCACAUGCGACCUUGGAGUUGAAAUGGAUAGUAAACUCAUGUACACCGAUCACAUCGACAAGGUAGUUUCGAAGGCAAAUUCAUUAUUUGGGAUGAUCAAACGGCUUUGCUAUGAACUUGACGAUCCCUACACAAUCAUGGCCAUUUAUAAGAGCAUAGUAAGAAGCGGAAUAGAGUAUGCAAACAUAGUAUGGAAGCCGAUCUAUGAUAUACACCGGAAUCGCUUGGAGAACGUACAGAAAAAGUUCGUGAUGUAUGCUGUUCGCAAUCUACCUUGGAGGAAUAUGUUCCAGACUAUAGAGACAUAUGUAUGCUUUUGGCGAUGGACACACUGAGCAGCAGAAGAAAUCUAACGGACGUAUUCUUCCUAAAGGAUCUUCUCGAUGGUAAAUAUUACUCACCAUACUUACUAUUGCAGGUUACUAGGUACACGGGGCGGACUGGUUUGAGACGGGACCGUCAAUUCCAUAUUGCUAACAGAGUACAAAAUUACGCAAGGAAUGAACCAAUCUAUCGUAUGAUGAAAUUUAUUAAUGACAAUCGUGAGAAGAUAAACACAGCCAUGUCUAAGGAAAAAAUCAAGUACGAAGUAAUGAGAUUGUGAUUACAUGUUUUAUGUUAUUUCGACUUUUUUUGAGUGUGACUAGAAUGUAUUAGAAUUAAGUUUGAUAACGGGCAUGACCCAAGAUCAAUAAACAACAACAAAUGAAA